ACAUAUGUGUGUGUCAGUGGCACAAAAGUGAAAGCAAGUAGGUGAUGGGUGGGUGAGGUAGGGGAAGGUGUAUUGAGUGUUUCUUUAAGAAAAAUUAAACUAUAAAAGAUACAUGUAUUUCCUAGAUUCGUUAUCUCUGUAUUUUUCUACAUAGAUAAAA